AGCGUUGCUCGGAAUCACUGGGCGUAAAGCGCACGUAGGCGGCUUUCUAAGUCAGAGGUGAAAUCCUGGAGCUCAACUCCAGAACUGCCUUUGAUACUGGAAAGCUUGAGUUCGGGAGAGGUGAGUGGAACUGCGAGUGUAGAGGUGAAAUUCGUAGAUAUUCGCAAGAACACCAGUGGCGAAGGCGGCUCACUGGCCCGAUACUGACGCUGAGGUGCGAAAGCGUGGGGAGCAAACAGG
rnacentral:rRNA from 1 species